UACGGGGGGGGGCAAGCGUUGUUCGGAAUUACUGGGCGUAAAGGGCUCGUAGGCGGCCAACUAAGUCGGAUGUGAAAUCCCCAGGCUUAACCUGGGAACUGCAUCCGAUACUGGAUGGCUUGAAUCCGGGAGAGGGAUGCAGAAUUCCAGGUGUAGCGGUGAAAUGCGUAGAUAUCUGGAGGAAUACCGGUGGCGAAGGCGGCAUCCUGGACCGGCAUUGACGCUGAUGAGCGAAAGCUAGGGAAGCAAACGGG
rnacentral:rRNA from 1 species